GUAAGGUGUGGGCAGGUAGGGUCGGUAAUAGGAAGGGGGCAACGUUGUGAGGGACGUAUGGUGCGGAAAGCGUACGUAGGUGGCUGUGCAAGUCGGAUGGGAAAUCCGUCGGCUUAACCAAGGAAGUGCAUCCGAAACGGCAGAGCUUGAGUACGAAAGAGGAUCGCGGAAUUCCCGGUGUAGAGGUGAAAUUCGUAGAUAUCGGGAGGAACACCAGUGGCGAAGGCGGCGAUCUGGGUCGAUACUGACGCUGAGGUGCGAAAGCGUGGGGAGCAAACAGGAUUAGAUACCCCAGUAGUC
rnacentral:rRNA from 1 species